rnacentral:lncRNA from 1 species
GCCAUUUUGAUGCGUGUGAUCUAGGUUGGGUAGAUCUUUUACAGGACAACUUACCAGCUUCUAUCCGGCUUGAAUCGCCAGUUGUUUUGUGCGGACACCAAAGAGCAAAAGCAGCAGAUAAACAUAUAGCGAAUUCGAUUCAUGUAAAGCCUUCUUAUCUUAAACAUUUUGAGACUGUUUGAGAAAUGCGGUCGGUCCUUGUACUCCACUUCGGUUCAUGCCCUUCUAUAAUCAAAAGUAACGAACAUUUUUGGAGAAUUGAACUCUCUAAAAUCCUUAAACCACAUAAAUGCAUGCAUAGAAAGCAAUUUCAAAAAUUAAAAUUUGGGAAUCUCUAGUCUUGACUCAUUUAGUUAAUAGGGAUCAAAAUUGGUGGUAUUUAGCCGAAAAAUUUACUUAUCUAACCAUUUCCAUAAAAUCAUUAUCAAAAUUAAUAAAUUUCUUACCAUAAUAACCAUAUUUAGCCA